AAAGGAAUAGACGGGGACCCGCACAAGCAGCGGAGCAUGUGGUUUAAUUCGACGCAACGCGAAAAACCUUACCAGGGUUUGACAUCCUCUGAUCGCCUAAGAGAUUAGGUUUCCCUUCGGGGCAGAGAGACAGGUGGUGCAUGGUUGUCGUCAGCUCGUGUCGUGAGAUGUUAGGUUAAGUCCUGCAACGAGCGCAACCCCUAUAUACAGUUGCCAAUAUUCAGUUAGGAACUCUGUAUAGACUGCCGUGGACAACACGGAGGAAGGUGGGGAUGACGUCAAAUCAUCACGCCCCUUACAUCCUGGGCUACACACGUGCUACAAUGGCUAUUACAAAGAGCUGCAAAACCGUAAGGUCUAGCGAAUCUCAUAAAGAUAGUCUCAGUUCAGAUUGUGGGCUGCAACCCGCCCACAUGAAGUCGGAGUUGCUAGUAAUCCCGAAUCAGCAUGUCGGGGUGAAUGCGUUCCCGGGUCUUGUACACACCGCCCGU
rnacentral:rRNA from 1 species